rnacentral:rRNA from 1 species
GCAGGAUGACGGUCCUAUGGAUUGUAAACUGCUUUUGUACAGGAAGAAACAGUUCUACGUGUAGAACCUUGACGGUACUGUAAGAAUAAGGAUCGGCUAACUCCGUGCCAGCAGCCGCGGUAAUACGGAGGAUCCAAGCGUUAUCCGGAAUCAUUGGGUUUAAAGGGUCCGUAGGCGGUUUAGUAAGUCAGUGGUGAAAGCCCAUCGCUCAACGGUGGAACGGCCAUUGAUACUGCUAAACUUGAAUUAUUAGGAAGUAACUAGAAUAUGUAGUGUAGCGGUGAAAUGCUUAGAGAUUACAUGGAAUACCAAUUGCGAAGGCAGGUUACUACUAAUGGAUUGACGCUGAUGGACGAAAGCGUGGGUAGCGAACAGGAUUAGAUACCCUGGUAGUCCACGCCGUAAACGAUGGAUACUAGCUGUUGGAAGCAAUUUCAGUGGCUAAGCGAAAGUGAUAAG